UAAUACGUAGGGUCCAAGCGUUAUCCGGAAUCACUGGGCGUAAAGCGUGCGUAGGUGGAUUGUUAAGUGCGGUGCGAAAUCCUGUGGCUCAACCAUAUGGACUGUAUCGCAUACUGGCAACCUAGAGGACAUGAGAGGCAAGUGGAAUUACUGGUGUAGCAGUGAAAUGCGUAGAGAUCAGUAGGAACACCAAUGGCGAAGGCAGCUUGCUGGCAUGUAUCUGACGCUAAGGCACGAAAGCGUGGGGAGCGAACAGGAUUAGAUACCCUGGUAGUCCACGCCGUAAACGAUGCAUAUUAUUAGUAUGGGGUAUCGACCCCCUGUGCUGAGAAGCUAACGCGUUAAAUAUGCCGCCUGGGGAGUACGAUCGCAAGAUUA
rnacentral:rRNA from 1 species